rnacentral:rRNA from 1 species
AGAGUUUGAUCCUGGCUCAGAACGAACGCUGGCGGCAAGCUUAACACAUGCAAGUCGAACGGAUUAUUCUUGUAGCUUGCUAUGAGAAUAAUUAGUGGCAGACGGGUGAGUAAUGCAUAGGAAUCUACCUAGUAGUAUAGGAUAGCCACUAGAAAUGGUGGGUAAUACUGUAUAAUCCCUGCGGGGGAAAGAUUUAUCGCUACAUGAUGAGCCUAUGUUAGAUUAGCUAGUUGGUGGGGUAAUGGCCUACCAAGGCAGUGAUCUAUAGCUGGUCUGAGAGGAUGAUCAGCCACACUGGAACUGAGACACGGUCCAGACUCCUACGGGAGGCAGCAGUGGGGAAUAUUGGACAAUGGGCGCAAGCCUGAUCCAGCUAUGCCGCGUGAGUGAGGAAGGCCUUAGGGUUGUAAAACUCUUUCAGUGGGGAAGAUAAUGACG